CCUAAUACAUGCAAGUCGAGCGAUGAGGCUCCUUCGGGAGUACAUCAGCGGCGAACGGGUGAGUAACACGUGGGUGACUUGCCCCGAAGAUGGGGAUAACCUCUGGAAACGGGGGCUAAUACCCAAUGUGCUCGGUGAUUCGGUUCAUCGAGUAAAGCUCCGGCGCUUCGGGAGAGGCCUGCGGCCCAUCAGCUAGUUGGUAGGGUAACGGCCUACCAAUGCAGAGACGGGUAGGGGGCGUGAGAGCGCGGACCCCCACACUGGCACUGAGAUACGGGCCAGACUCCUACGGGAGGCAGCAGGGAGGGAUAUUGCGCAAUGGACGAAAGUCAGACGCAGCGACGCCGCGUGGGCGAUGAAGGCCUUCGGGUUGUAAAGCCCUUUUAUGGGGGAAGAGAAAAAGGACGGUACCCCAGGAAUAAGUCCCGGCUAACUACGUGCCAGCAGCCGCGGUAAAACGUAGGGGACAAGCGUUAUCCGGAUUCACUGGGCGUAAAGAGCGUUGAGGCGGUUCCGUAAGUUGGGCGUGAAAGCUCCGGGCUUAACUCGGAGAUGUCGUUCAAUACUGCGGGGCUUGAGGACAGCAGAGGAAGGUGGAAUUCCCGGUGUAGUGGUGAAAUGCGUAGAUAUCGGGAGGAACACCCGUGGCGAAGGCGGCCUUCUGGGC
rnacentral:rRNA from 1 species